GGUAGUCCACCCCGUAAACGUUGGGAACUAGUUGUGGGGACCAUUCCACGGUUUCCGUGACGCAGCUAACGCAUUAAGUUCCCCGCCUGGGGAGUACGGCCGCAAGGCUAAAACUCAAAGGAAUUGACGGGGACCCGCACAAGCGGCGGAGCAUGCGGAUUAAUUCGAUACAACGCGAAGAACCUUACCAAGGCUUGACAUACACCAGAACACCGUAGAAAUACGGGACUCUUUGGACACUGGUGAACAGGUGGUGCAUGGCUGUCGUCAGCUCGUGUCGUGAGAUGUUGGGUUAAGUCCCGCAACGAGCGCAACCCUCGUUCUAUGUUGCCAGCACGUAAUGGUGGGAACUCAUGGGAUACUGCCGGGGUCAACUCGGAGGAAGGUGGGGAUGACGUCAAAUCAUCAUGCCCCUUAUGUCUUGGGCUUCACGCAUGCUACAAUGGCCGGUACAAAGGGCUGCAAUACCGUGAGGUGGAGCGAAUCCCAAAAAGCCGGUCCCAGUUCGGAUUGAGGUCUGCAACUCGACCUCAUGAAGUCGGAGUCGCUAGUAAUCGCAGAUCAGCAACGCUGCGGUGAAUACGUUCCCGGGUCUUGUACACACCGCCCGUCAAGUCAUGAAAGUCGGUAACACCUGAAGCCGGUGGCCCAACCCUUGUGGAGGGAGCCGUCGAAGGUGGGAUCGGUAAUUAGGACUAAGUCGUAACAAGGUAGCCGUACCGGAAGGUGC
rnacentral:rRNA from 1 species